rnacentral:lncRNA from 1 species
GGCGCAAUGGUGGUACACAUCCUGGGGGUAACCAAUGGCUACCUAAUUAGAUUUAAGGUCUGACGGAUGGGAGGGCAUAGAUGCCUGGCACUUUAAACUUAGCUCACUACCCAUGACUGGUGAUGGCGUGAAACCUAGAGGAGAACCUACUUUGGCUGCCUUCCUAAACCAGUGUGAUUCGGAACUGCGAGAUAACUGCUGGUCCCCAUACCCACAGGAGAGACGAUGACUAUUCCUGAAAUGGCAGAUUGGGUUCAUCGUGUAUGCAGACUCUGAUUGCUCCGCCGCCAUGGCUGCCUGGAGCACUGGGCUGAAAAGGACCCAGCUCCUGCAUGAGGGUGUCUCCGUGGUGUGUGAUGUGUGAUUCAAUGCUUUUGAAAGAGUCAGAGAUGGAGUUCAAGACUUCCACCAGACUCUGCACUCGGAAGCAGGCAGGGGACCUAUCCCUGCCUACUCUGGAGUCUAAGGGAGAGCCUGUGCGAUUGGAUCCUUGAUAAUUUUUGGUUGUGAGCCUAGCCUCUUAGGGCCGAGCCAUCUCUCCAGCCCUUUGAUACUGGAAAAAAAUGUUUAUUAAAUAAGUAAAUGAAGGGAUAA